UACAGAGGGGGCAAGCGUUGUUCGGAGUUACUGGGCGUAAAGGGCGCGUAGGCGGCCUGUUAAGUCGAACGUGAAAUCCCCGGGCUCAACCCGGGAACUGCGCCCGAUACUGGCAGGCUUGAAUCCGGGAGAGGGAUGCGGAAUUCCAGGUGUAGCGGUGAAAUGCGUAGAUAUCUGGAGGAACACCGGUGGCGAAGGCGGCAUCCUGGACCGGCAUUGACGCUGAGGCGCGAAAGCCAGGGGAGCAAACGGG
rnacentral:rRNA from 1 species